ACAGGGACAGGAACACGCACCAUGAUUUCACACAUCCGGCUGAUCUGGCCCUUGGCAUUCUGCAUCACAGGUAUCAGUGGGGACAUCACCAUGAGCCAGACUCCUCCGGUGCUGUCAGUGAGACUGGGCCAGACCGCAACCAUCACCUGUACGGCCAGUCAAUCUGUUAGCAAUGAGCUUUCCUGGUACCAGCAGCGAGAAGGUCAGAAACCCUCACUCCUGAUGUACAAUGCAGCAGCUCGAUUCACAGGAGUCUCCGAUCGAUUCACCGGCAGUGGAUCAGGGACCAGUUACAUCCUGACAAUCAGCAACAUUCAGAAUGAGGAUGUCGCUGACUAUUACUGCAUGCAAGGUUACAGCAACCCUUUUACGUUUGGUAAAAGAACCAAGCUCAGACUGAGUAAGUAA